rfam:Medicago truncatula strain A17 chromosome 7, whole genome shotgun sequence.
AAACUGCCCCCUAAGUUUUGCAACUGUAGCAGUUUUGGCCCCCCAAGACCAAUUUUUGGUAAAAAAAAAAUAACACGUGGCACCUCACUUAAGGUGCCACGUCAGUGUAGACCGAGUCAAAAUUGGCCUUGGGGUCCAAAACUGUCAAAGAUGCAAAACUUAGAGGGCGGUUU